rnacentral:rRNA from 1 species
UACGGAGGGUGCAAGCGUUGUUCGGAAUUAUUGGGCGUAAAGCGCGUGUAGGCGGGUUAUCAAGUCUUAGUGAAAUCCAACGGCUUAACUUAUGCACUGCCUUUGAUACUGUUGGUCUUGAGUGCAAAUGAGGUUGGCGGAAUGUGUAGUGUAGCGGUGAAAUGCUUAGAUAUUACACAGAACACCGAUAGCGAAGGCAGCUAACCAAGAUGCAACAGACGCUGAGGCACGAAAGCGUGGGGAUCAAACA